rnacentral:rRNA from 1 species
UACGUAGGGGGCAAGCGUUGUCCGGAAUCACUGGGCGUAAAGGGUGCGUAGGCGGGUCUUUAAGUCAGGGGUGAAAUCCUGGAGCUCAACUCCAGAACUGCCUUUGAUACUGAAGAUCUUGAGUUCGGGAGAGGUGAGUGGAACUGCGAGUGUAGAGGUGAAAUUCGUAGAUAUUCGCAAGAACACCAGUGGCGAAGGCGGCUCACUGGCCCGAUACUGACGCUGAGGCACGAAAGCGUGGGGAGCAAACAGG